rnacentral:rRNA from 1 species
UACGUAGGGGCUAGCGUUAUCCGGAAUUACUGGGCGUAAGGGUGCGUAGGUGGUUUCUUAAGUCAGAGGUGAAAGGCUACGGCUCAACCGUAGUAAGCCUUUGAAACUGGGAAACUUGAGUGCACCGGAGAGGAGAGUGGAAUUCCUAGUGUAGCGAUGAAAUGCGUAGAUAUUAGGAGGAACACCAGUUGCGAAGGCGGCUCUCUGGACUGUAACUGACACUGAGGCACGAAAGCGUGGGGAGCAAACAGGAUUAGAUACCCUGGUAGUCCCUGA